ACUCUUACCACACACCCCACACACCCUGCCACUCACACCAGCAGCCGCCGGUCUCUGGCACUGCAUAUCUUCUGGGCGUUGUUUUAUAUGAAGGAAUUUUUGAACAAAUAUAAAAAGUGAGGUCACCAUUGAAUUUACGUAUUUAACAAGUUCUUUUACGUUAUUGUUGUUAGUGGCCUUCCAGUGGCUUCCUACUCAUGGUGACCCCAUGCGUGCAGGAUAAAACUGCACUCUAUGGGCUUUUCAAGGCUGCGAUCUCUUGUAAGCAGAUGGCCAGGUCUGUCUUCCCGGGCGCCCCUGCGUGAAUUCCAAUGACCAACCUUUUGGCUAGUAAUCCAGCGAUUAACCAUUCACCAUAUAGCAUCUUGCAUGAUCCUCCCAGCUCUCUGGGCUACCCAGGGCAGACAUCAUGCUCAUUUUCCAGAAGAUAAAACUGAGCCCAGGUUAAAGAAACCUGUCCAAGGUACAUGGGGGAGGCAGCACUUGAAUUUAGGCUUCUUGAUCUGAGGUCUAAACUUAUGUCAGCUGUGCUGAGCUGCUUAUUUAUAGAAAUGUCUCUUGCACAACCCAGCCACCCCCACCACCUCAGGUGGUGGUUCUUGCAGUUAUAGGCAGGGCUCCCUGAGUGAAGACCCUGAUCCCUCCAGUCCCAUCCUGAAACAGACCCAUAACAUCUGUGCCUCACCAGGGCUCCCUCCCCCCAGAGUGACCUCAGCAGUCUCUGGGUAACCUUGGGAGAGGCCUUGCCUCCAAAUCACUUGCCCUAUCUCCGAACUGCACCUUGCCAGGAACAACUUGAGUUUUGUCACAGAGAGGUGGAUGGGAAAGGCCAGGUCUCUUCAUUUGAGGUAUGGGAAGGCAUCAAGAAACGGGCACAUUCCUGGCAGGAGUUAGGAGGUUUCAUACCAUUAGACUUGUAAUAAAAUGGAGUUUUAGAAUACUUUGCCAGUAGAGCCCCAUGGAAAUGUCUUGUUAAUUUUAAGGAUAUAGUCAAGCAUUACUUUGGUCUUUCAGAAAAGUGUUUGAGGACUUGGAGCUGAAUUCCAAAGCCCCAGAGUUCCAGGGUGGGUGAGAGGAGAAAAAGAAGCAAUGAUGGGGUUGGAGAGAGAGAAGGAAAGGACACUUUUGCUCUGAGGUUGUCAUUGUGUGAGUAGUGACUUCCCCAUUACUAAAGGUAUUCGAGAACUACGUAACCUCUGAGGUCCCUUCUAAAUUCGUUUUAUAUGUAUAUAUAUAUAUAUAUUUUUUCCCAUAACAAAUUCAAACUAUAGAAGUGUAUAAAGAUGCAGGGAGAGACCUACCCUCUCUUUCCCUUUGCAACCCUUCCCCCAAAAAUCACCUUACUGAUAAUCUGAUGGUGUGUAUACCAUUACAGACCUUUUCCCAUGUUUUUAUACAGUUGUACAGAGUACAUAUAGGUCUUGCUGUUUUUCCUUUACAGAAAUGGGAUUAUACUAUACAUACUGUUCCAAGACCUGCUUUUUUCAUGCUGUUGUGACCGUUGGUGACGUAGUGGUUAAGAGCUUGGCUGCAAACCAAAAGGUCGGCAGUUUGAAUCCACCAGCCGCUCCUUGGAGACUCUUUGGGACAGUUCUACUCUGCCCUGUAAAGUCGCUAUAAGUUGGAAUCCACUCAAUGGCAGCAGGUUUGGUUUAUUAUGACACCUUUGCAAGUAAGUGUGUAACUCAGGCUCCUUCUUUGUAAUGGCUGCCCAGUAUUCCCCUGCGUGGAUGUGACUUAGUGUGUUUAUCCAUCCCUCAACUGAUGAGCAGAGGAGUCCUGGUGGUGCAGUGGCUAAAGCUCUUGGCUGCUAAAUGCAAUGUCAGCAGUUUGAAUCCACCAGCCGGUCUACAGCAGAAAGAUGUGGCAGUCUGCCUCCGUAAAGAUUUCAGCCUUGGAAACCCUACGGGACAGUUCUGUUCUGUCCUAUUACAGGAUCACUAUGAGUCAGCAUCUACUUGAUGGCAACGGGUUUGAAUUUUUUUGGUUUGAUUGAUGAGCAUUUAGGUUGUAUCCAGUUUUACAAAUAAUGAUGCAAUAUAGAACAUUCUGUACACCCAUGCUAGUAUUUCUCUAGAUCAGUGGCUCUCAAAUAGGGCCAGUUUUGCCCCCAGGGGACUUUUAGCAAUGGCCGGAGACAUUUUUGAUUGUUACCUGGGUUGGGGGAGGGGGGUGGUACUUGCAUUAAGUGGGUAGAGAUCAGGGAUGCUACUAAACAUCCUACAGUGCACAGGACAGCCCCAGAGUGAGGGAUCAUUCUGUCCAAAAUGUCAAUAACGGCAUAUAGAGAAACCCUGAUCUAGAUAAAAAUGGAAUUAAGUAUUUUCAAAAUAAAUGUAUAUUAAAAAGUCCCGAGUGCCCAACAAAUUACGCAUAGCUACUUAGGAGAAUAUUAUUCAGCCUUUCAAAACAACACUUUUGAAGAUCAUGUGGCAACAUGGAAACGUGCUGUGACAGUUUACAUUUUUAAAGCCAGGAGACAGAAUUGUGUAAAAUAGGUAAAAGCCAUGAACAGGAGAAAAACUAGAGGGAAAUAACAUGAAGUCAAAAGCGUUAAGAUGGUUUUCUUUUUCCCUCUCUUCUACACGUUACUUCUACAACCUAAAAGGAAUGUGGUUUUUAAUCAUUUAUUCAUUAAUUGGUUUUAAAGCAUUUGAUAUGUGUCGGGCACUGUGCUGGUCCUUGGAGAUAAAUACAGAGGUAAUUAGCCUGCCUAAAUCCUGCCCAUAUGGAGCCUGCCUCCUAUGGGAAUACACAUUGGCAAGUGUUAGAAUGCAAGGGAGAAAAUAAAUACAACAUGUGGUGGAGACAGGAGGGGAGCAGGGAGGGCCUCUUGGAGGAGGUGGUCUUCAAGUGAGCUCUGAUAGAUGAGAGGAGCCAGCCUUGUAAAGAGCAAAGGUGGGGGGAGUGUAUUAUAGACGUGGGAACAGUAGGCACAAUGCAAGGCGGUAGAUAAGAGUGCACUCAGCAUUUUCUACAACCUGGUCAGAAGCACUGAGAUCACACUGGUGAAAGCGGGGGAAGGGGACCAGUGGUCCAGAGUGAGAUUGAAGAGGUCACCAGGGUCUGGAUCCGACGGGCCCAUCAUUUAAUAGAGUGGCUCAGCUCCACUGCUGCAGGAUGGGCCUGGGGGGUGUGAGGUAAAUGGGAAAGGGAGGUGCCAAGGGGCUCGGGGCUGCUGGGCUCUCCGUUAGGUUCACAUGGGUUGUUAGAGAAUCCCAAGCCCUGCUCUCUGACUCUGCAUGUCUGAGAGUACCCCCAGUGUUCAGCUGUUGUGGAUUCUGUUCACACUCAAAUGCAGCCCAGGACUUGACCUCAGCAGAGGUGUACCCUCAAAGCCAGAGGUCAUUGGGAAGCCCAGUGGUCUGUGGAAGUGAACAUUUCCUACCAGUCUUGCUCAUGCAUUUAGUCAACAAAUAUGUUUUGUGCACUGACGGUGACAGUCUCUGUUCCAGGCACUGGAAGUCCAGUGAAGAACAGAUGAGGCCUAGCCUUGUGUCCGUGGAGCUCACAUUCUGGUGGGCUCGUUGCCGAUGGACACUGUAAGGGCCAGAGGCAGGAAUGGUCGGCUAUGACCCCAGAGCAGAUGGCAGGAAUAUCUCCAAGUUCGAGGUGGCCGUGGCUGGCUCUGUGUCUGGACUUGUCACUCGGGCGCUGGUCAGCCCCCUGGACGUCAUCAAGAUCCGUUUCCAGCUUCAGAUUGAGCGCCUGUCCCGCAGUGACCCCAGUGCAAAAUACCAUGGCAUCCUACAGGCAGGGAGACAGAUUCUGCAGGAGGAGGGCCCAGCGGCUUUCUGGAAAGGACACAUCCCAGCCCAGCUUCUCUCCAUAGGCUAUGGAGCUGUGCAAUUUUUGUCUUUUGAGCUGCUGACUGAGCUGGUGCACAGAGCCAGCGUGUACGAUGCCCGCGACGUCUCAGUGCACUUUGUGUGUGGCGGCCUGUCUGCCUGCGCAGCCACCCUCGCCGUGCACCCUGUGGAUGUUCUGCGCACUCGCUUUGCAGCUCAGGGUGAGCCCAAGAUCUAUAAAACCCUCCGAGAUGCCGUGGUGACCAUGUACAGGACUGAAGGCCCCUUAGUCUUCUACAAGGGCUUGAACCCCACCUUGAUUGCCAUCUUCCCCUAUGCCGGCUUCCAGUUCUCUUUUUACAGCUCCUUGAAGCAAGUGUAUGAGUGGGCUGUGCCAGCUGAAGGAAAGACAAACGGGAACCUCAAAAAUCUGCUUUGUGGCAGCGGAGCCGGAGUUAUCAGCAAGACCCUUACGUACCCUCUGGACCUCUUCAAGAAACGGCUGCAGGUUGGAGGGUUUGAGCAGGCCCGAGCCACCUUUGGUCAGGUGCGAAGCUACAGGGGCCUCCUGGACUGUGCCAAGCAGGUUCUGCAAGAGGAAGGGUCCCGGGGCUUCUUCAAGGGCCUUUCACCCAGCCUGCUGAAGGCGGCUCUCUCCACAGGCCUUGUGUUCUUCUGGUAUGAGUUGUUCUGUAACUUAUUCCACCACAUGAAGAAGGCAGACAGCUAGCUGUGAGGGAACUGAGGGUGACCUGGAAGUCUCUGACUGGAGCAACCUCCCGAGAGAAGACUGCAUCUCCAAUAUCAUGUUGCACUGAGAGGUGCUGCCUGGUCCAUCCCUCCCAGCCAGCUAUCCUGGGAUGAGAGCCAUCAGAGCAGGGCCCUGACAGUGCAAGUCAGAGAAGGAGCUUGAAGCUGUAUCUCUUGUCUGUCCAGCCCACCCCAAAGGAAGCAGAUGCCACACUUCUUCUCAGCCGCAUCUGUCGGGGGGACCCUCCUGGGCUGGAUAACCACAGCUUGAGCAGAAGGCUGAGGUCAGGCUCUUUGUAGGAGUCUGGUCCCCACACUUGGGUUGCGAUUCCCACCAACUUAUUUAAUAGACAUUAAAGCUAAAAGCAAAUUCUUUAUCGUUGUUGUGGUUGUUGUUGUGGUUAGGUGCAUGGAUGUACAACAGAAACACUGCCUGGUCCUACGCCAUCCUUGCAAUCCUUGCUAUGUUUGAGCAGAUUGUUGUAACCACUGUGUCAGUUCCUCUCGUCGAGGGUCCUCCUCUUUUUCACUGACCCUGUACUUUACCAAGGAUGAUGUCCUUCUCCAGGGACGGUUCCCUCCUAAUAACAUGUCCAAAGUCUCUGAGAUAAAGUCUCACUGUCCUCAUUUCUAAGGAGUAUUCUGGAUGUACUUCUUCAAAGACAUCUUUGUUCAUUCUUCUGGCAGUGCAUGGUAUAUUCAAUAUUCUUUGUUAACACCAUAAUUCAAAGGCAUCAAGUCUCCUGUCUUUCUCAUUCAUAGUCCAGCUUUUUCAUGCCUAUGAGGCAAUUUAAGGUACCGUGGCUUGGGUCAGGUGCACCUUAGUCCUCAAAAUGACAUCUUCGGUUUUUAACAGUUUAAAGAGGUCUUUUGCAGCAGAUUUGCCCAAUGUGAUAGAUACAUCCUUUGAUUUCUUGACUGCUGCUUCCAUGGGUUGAUUGUGGAUCCAAGUAAAAUGAAAUCCAUGACAACUUCAGUCAUUUCUCAUGAUGUCGUUUACUGGUCCAGUUGUGAGGAUUUUUGUUUUCUUUAUGUUGAGAUGUAAUCUAUAUUGAAGGCUUUAGUCUUUGAUCUUUAUGAUUAAGUUCCUCAAGUCCUCUUCGCUUUCAGCAAGAAAGGUUGUGUCAUCUGCAUAUUGCAGGUUGUUAAUGAGUUCUCUAAUCCUGGUGCCCGUUCUUCUUAUAGCUGGCUUUUCAGAUUACUUGCUCAGCAUACAGAUUGAAUGAGUAUGGUGAAAGGAUACCAUCUCGAUGCACACCUUUCCUGAUUUUAAACCACUCAGUAUCACCAAUACCCCUUGUUCUGUUCAAAUGACUGCCUCUUGGUCUAUGUACAGGUUCCACAUGAGUAUAAUUAAGUGUUCUGGAAUUCCCAUUCUUUGCAAUGUUAUCCAUAAUUUGUUAUGAUCCACACAGUCAAAUGCCUUUGCAUAGUCAAUAAAACACAAGUAAACAUCUUUCUGGUGUUCUCUGCUUUCAGCCAGGAUCCAGCUGACAUCAGCAGUGACCUCCCCCGUUCCACAUCCUCUUCUGAAUCAGCUUGAAUUUCUGGCAGUUCCCUGUUGAUGCACUGCGGGAACUAUUACUGGGUCUGAGUUAUCUUCAGCAGUUUUACUUGCGUGUGAUAUUAAUGAUAUUGUUCUAUAAUUUCCACGUUCUGUUUGUAUUAUUUCUCUAGUGCAGCUGUAACAGAAAUACCACAAGUGAAUGGCUUAAUCAAACGGAAGUUUAUUCUCUCACAGCUUAGGAGGCUAGAAGUCUGAAUUCAGGGUGCCAGCUUGAGGGGAAGGCUUUCUCUCUAUAUCAUUUUCUUGUCAUCAGUCUAGGAGCUUGUGAGGGCAAGGACCCUGACCAAAGGACAUGCUCCACUCUUGGUUUUUCUUGCUUGAUGGUAAUGAGGUCCUUCUCUGCUCGAUUCUCUCUUUUGUAUCUCAAGAGAUUGACUCAAGAUACAACCUAAUCUUAUAGAUUGAGUCCUGCCUCAUUAACAUAACUGCCUCUAAUCCUGUCUUAUUAACAUCAUAGAGGUUAGGAUUUACAACACAUAGGAUAAUCACAUCAGGUCACAAAAUGGUGGACAACCACACAAUACUGGGAAUCAUUGCCUAGAGCUAAGCUGAUACACAUUUUUGGGUGACACAAUCCAUAACACCAUUGAAUCACCUUUCUUUAGAUUGGGCUUGAAUAUGGAUCUCUUCCAGUCUGUUGGCCAGGUAUCUGGUCUUCCAAAUUUCUUGGCAUAGACAAGUGAGCGUUUUCAGUGUUGCAUCCAUUUGUUGAAACAUCUCAGUGGAUAUUCUGUCAAUUCCUGGAGCCUUGUUUUUCGCCAGUGCCUUCAGUAUCAUUGAUUCUUGAUCAUAUGCUACCUCCUGAAAUGGCUAACCAUGGACCACUUCUUUUUGGUACAAUGACUGUACAUCUUCUUUUGAUGCAUUCUGCAUCAUUCAAUAUUUUGCCCAUAGACUCUUUCAUUAUUGCAACUCAAGACUUGAUUUUUUUCUUUAGUUCAUUCAGCUUGAGAAAUGCUGAGCAUUUUCUUCCAUUUUGGUUUUCUAUCUCCAGGUCUUUGCACAUUUCAUUUUGAUACUUUGUCUUCUGAAGCUGCCCUUUGAAAUUUUUUGUUCAUCUCUUUUACGUGAUCAUUUCUUUUGUUUGCUUUAGCUACUCUACAUUCAAGAGCAAGUUUCACAGUCUCUUCUGAUAUCCCUUUUGAUCUUUUCUUUCUUUCCUGUCCUUUUCAUGACCUUUUGCUUCUUGCGUAAUGUCCUUGAUGUCAUCUGACAACUCGUCUGGCCUAUUAGUGUUCAAUGCUUCAAAUCUGUUCUUGAGAUGGUCUCUAAAUUCAGGUGGGAUAUACUCAUAGUUAACUUUGACUCUCGUGGGCUUGUUCUAAUUUUCUUCAACUUGAGCUUGCAUAUGGGCAAUUGAUGGUGUUCUGCAGUCAUUCUUUGGCCUUGUUCUGACUGAUGAUAUUGAGCUUCUCCCUCGUCUUUCCACAGAUGUAGUCAAUUUGAUUCCUGUGUAUUCCAUCCAGCAAGGUCCAAGUGUCUAGCCGCCAUUUAUGUUGUUGAAAAAAGGUAUUUGCAAUGAGUAAGUUGUUGGUCUUCCAAAACUCCAUCAUGCCCUCUACAGCGUCAUUUCUGUCACUAAGGCCAUAUUUUCCAACUACCAAGCCUUCUUGUUUCCAACUUUUGUAUUCCAAUCACCAGUAAUUAUUGAUGCAUCUUGAUUGCAUGUUUAAUCAAUUUCAGACUGCAGAAGUUGGUAAAAAUCUUAAAUUUCUUCAUCUUUGGAGUUCAUGGUUGGUGAGUAAAUUUGAGUAAUAGUCUGUAUUAACUGGUCUUCCUUGUUGGGUAUGGAUAUCAUCCUAUCACUGACACCAUUGUACUUCAGGAUAGAUCUUGAAAUGGUCUUUUGACGAUGAAUGUGAUGCCAUUCCUUAUCUUACCCCUCCGCUUUUCCACACAAAUCACACCCCUUCUCACAGUGUGAGGGAAGGGACACUGCCCUCCCCAGCUCCAUUCUUCUCCACAGCUGCAGCCCUCAGCAAGCUCUGCUUUAGUGCUGCAGGGAGAUUGCCAGGUGAAGGUGGUAAGUUGGGGAAAGGGGGUGCUGAUGAGGAGGAGGAGAGGAGAAAGGUGGCAGCCCUAGCCCCUGUCUACCUUGGUCUGCCCUCCUUUUACUGGGUGCUGGGCCAGCCCUCCGGGGCAAGUGGGAGUUCACAGCUGGCCCAGCUAGCAUUGGGGUGCCCCUCCUUGGCCCAGAGCAUGGCACUGUAUGUAGACCCCAACUUUGUGACCCCAAAAGGCCACGAGUCUGAAGCAGCCCAGUGAAAGGGAUGGCCGGAGGAAGGGGUUGGGCAGCCAGCCAGCCCUGAGAGGACCCAUUUAGUGCCCAGGAGGGGUUGUCAGCAGCAGGAGCCCCAAGAGAUGUUUAUCUAGACACAGAGGAGACACUUCAGUUAGGGGUAUGAGAGGAGAAGAAAAUCCACAACACAACCACCACGUUUCCAUCCUUGCUCACCAGCCCCCUUCCCUCCAGCCUGCUAGCUGGCUUCAACAGUGGAGCUAGGAUGGAGGAGCAAGUGGACUCCUAACCAGGCCUUAACCCAGCCUGAGUGGGGAGCCUGCCCUCGCUCCGGGCUCUUGCUCCAGCCUUUGCCCUGACUAGUUGCUGGGGAAGACCCCUGCCAGGAGCAGGUGGAGGUGGGUGUCUGGCUCUGGUCCUGGGCCCCUUCUAUACUGUUAUUGCCCCCUGGCCUGGUCUGGCGUUUGUGGUGUGCCUCGGUCCUGGACACAGACGUCUCCUCUGCCCUUGGCUUGCCUUGCCUUGGCUGCUGGAGGGGUGUUUAAGGCUUGGGCCUCUGACUGCAGGAGGCGGCUGCCUGCGUGUGUUUCUUAUGAAAUUCCAGAGUGAGUCUAUUGCAGUAAAGUUUAUUCUCAGUUUUUUUUAUGCUGUAGAUGAGAGUUCUCUGCCCCAGCCUUUUCCAAGUAACCGCUUUGGGGACUCUUUGUAAAAGGAGGGGAGAACUUUGGCAACAAGCAGCUGCCAUGCACACCCCCUCUUGUCCAAGCCGACGGAGAAGGCAGUAGUUCUGCCAUCCUCUGGGUGCCCACAACCUGAAGUCGACCUCCCUGGGCAGCCUGGGGAGGGGCGGGAGGACGGGGAACACAACACGGUGCAGUUCUUGGGCUGCGUGGUCAGCCAGCCUCUCAGCCCCAGUCAAGAAAGACCGAGUCAGGGGGCUUGCUCAACUUCCAGGUCGCUUCCAACACCCUGCCUGGCAUACACUAACAAUUGUGACCCAUUUCUUGGACUGCCCACUUGAUUUUAAACUUAUUUUACCAGAUUCCUUAGUACUUAGAGUAGAAGAGGGGGAUAGUGGGAUUUGAUCCAGCCUCAACGGCCCCCCUGCGUCUCCUCUGCCAUGGGAGUAAGAGUGGGGACCCUGGCCUCUCACGUGUGAUGAUCCUGCCCCUCCAGCCUUCCAGCCCACCCUCCCCUCCACUCUGGCUGGACCGCGCCCUCUCCAGGCUUCUCCCACCCUGUGCGGCAUGCCCGCGUCUCCUUUUUGACCCUAUUAACCUGAACCCCGGCGUGGGGAACGGAGGGGUGCCCAUGUUAAGCCCGAAGGUUUCAAGCAGGCCAGGAAGCAGGUGCAGCCCAGCGCCUACGAGCCGUUGUGGUCCCACGCGGGGACGGGGCUUAGUGGGUG